GAUUUUAUAGCUUAAUUGGUAAAGUAUAGAAAUCAUAAUUCUACUAAUAUAGGUUCAAAUCCUAUUAAAAUCA
rnacentral:tRNA from 1 species